UACGAGAAGGCAGCUACCUGGUGACAGGAUGCUAAUCCCAAAAGCCUCUCUCAGUUCGGAUCGAAGUCUGCAACCCGACUUCGUGAAGCUGGAUUCGCUAGUAAUCGCGCAUCAGCCACGGCGCGGUGAAUACGUUCCCGGGCCUUGUACACACCGCCCGUCAAGCCAUGGGAGCCGGGGGUACCUGAAGUACGUAACCGCAAGGAGCGUCCUAGGGUAAAACUGGUAAUUGGGGCUAAGUCGUAACAAGGUAGC
rnacentral:rRNA from 1 species